CGGUUAUGUCUCCAAUCCGUUAUCAACGGAGGCACUCGGUCAUCCUGUGGGAGGAGUCAGUACUUCUCCUUAGACACAUUUGUUGUCAGUAGGGUGGUGUGAGGGCGGGUUAGAUGCCCG
rfam:Virgibacillus soli strain PL205 scaffold000007, whole genome shotgun sequence.